rnacentral:rRNA from 1 species
GACGAACGCUGGCGGCGUGCUUAACACAUGCAAGUCGAACGGAAAGGCCCUGCUUGCAGGGUGCUCGAGUGGCGAACGGGUGAGUAACACGUGGGUGAUCUGCCCCUUACUUUGGGAUAAGCCCGGGAAACUGGGUCUAAUACUGGAUAGGACCAUGCUGUAGGUGGUGUGGUGGAAAGAUUAGUUUCGGUAAGGGAUGAGCUCGCGGCCUAUCAGCUUGUUGGUGGGGUAAUGGCCUACCAAGGCGUCGACGGGUAGCCGGCCUGAGAGGGUGGACGGCCACAUUGGGACUGAGAUACGGCCCAGACUCCUACGGGAGGCAGCAGUGGGGAAUAUUGCACAAUGGGCGCAAGCCUGAUGCAGCGACGCCGCGUGGGGGAUGACGGCCUUCGGGCUGUAAACUCCUUUCAGCCAUGACGAAGCCCUUGUGGUGACGGUAGUGGUAGAAGAAGCACCGGCUAACUACGUG